UUUGUUUUUUUUGUAUAAAUUCCAUUUCACUAUUUUUUAUUUUAAUAACGUACCUUUGAUUCAAUAAGAACCUUGCUCUUUGAUAUUUGAUUUGACAAGAAUUUUGCUUUUUGACGUUAAACUUUAGCAACUUAAUUUUUACAUUUCGAACUUGUGAUAUGGAUGGAAAAAAACUUAAAGAAGGAGCAGAAAAAACAAAGGAAAAAUGUACCGAUUUUGUGAAACAACAUGAUGGGAAAGUAACCGAAGAAGCUAAACAACUCAAAGCCAAUGUGGCCGAACCAACAAAAAGUUAAAAUAUAGAAAAGGCGAUAUUUCCAUUGUUUCUUGGUCUUGAUUAAAUUAUUUUGUUUAAACCGGUUUUUUUUUUCCGUAAAUAAAAAUGUCUUACUUA